GACGAACGCUGGCGGCGUGCUUAACACAUGCAAGUCGAACGGAAAGGCCCUGCUUUUGUGGGGUGCUCGAGUGGCGAACGGGUGAGUAACACGUGAGUAACCUGCCCUUGACUUUGGGAUAACUUCAGGAAACUGGGGCUAAUACCGGAUAGGAGCUCCUGCUGCAUGGUGGGGGUUGGAAAGUUUCGGCGGUUGGGGAUGGACUCGCGGCUUAUCAGCUUGUUGGUGGGGUAGUGGCUUACCAAGGCUUUGACGGGUAGCCGGCCUGAGAGGGGGACCGGCCACAUUGGUACUGAGAUACGGCCCAGACUCCUACGGGAGGCAGCAGUGGGGAAUAUUGCACAAUGGGCGGAAGCCUGAUGCAGCAACGCCGCGUGCGGGAUGACGGCCUUCGGGUUGUAAACCGCUUUCGCCUGUAACGAAGCGUGAGUGACGGUAAUGGGUAAAGAAGCACCGGCUAACUACGUG
rnacentral:rRNA from 1 species